rnacentral:rRNA from 1 species
GGUGGCUGACCGGUGGAUCACCUGCGUUACACGUACGCAACCUUCCUUUAAGCGGGGAAUAGCCCAGAGAAAUUUGGAUUAAUACCCCAUAAGAAUGUGGACUGGCAUCAGUCAGCAUUUAAAGAUUUAUCACUUGAAGAUGGGCGUGCGUCUGAUUAGGUAGUUGGUGAGGUAACGGCUCACCAAGCCGACGAUCAGUAACUGGCGUGAGAGCGCGACCAGUCACACGGGCACUGAGACACGGGCCCGACUCCUACGGGAGGCAGCAGUAAGGAAUAUUGGUCAAUGGACGGAAGUCUGAACCAGCCAUGCCGCGUGGAGGAUGAAGGCCCUCUGGGUUGUAAACUUCUUUUAUUUGGGACGAAACACUUUCUUUCUAGAGAGCUUGACGGUACCAGAUGAAUAAGCACCGGCUAACUCCGUGCCGGCAGCCGCGGUAAUACGGAGGGUGCAAGCGUUAUCCGGAUUCACUGGGUUUAAAGGGUGCGUAGGCGGACAUGUAACUCCGUGGUGAAAUCUCUGGGCUUAACCCAGAAACUGCCAUGGAUACUAUAUGUCUUGAAUGUUGUG